GGACGGAAUGUAUAAGGGAUGAAUAGACAGAUCAACAGGAGGAAGGGAGGGGGACGGAAGAACGGAAGGAAAGACAGGAGAGGCAAGAAGAGAGAUUCUCUCCUUCAAAUAUUUCUUCAGCAAUUCUCCAACCUUCUUCCUACUUCCAUUGCAGCCCCCUAGCACUACAGAGACACCACUUAGAACCCAGCUCACUCCUUUAAAUGCUCUCACAUACCCCCCUUCCACGUCAUCGACCCUCCUCUCGUGCCUCAUGACAACCCUUCUUUCCUCACACAUGCCCGUUGCACACUCAACUCUCACAGAUGCCCAUUGCUACCUUCUCCUUGUUUUUUGACAGUGGGACUCACUAUGUAGCCCCUGGGUGGCCUAGAACUCUACACAGUCCAGGCUGGCCUGCAACUCACAGAAAUCCACCUGCCUCUGUGUCCUGAAUACUGGGCGUAUAGGCAUGUGCCACCAUGCCCAGCUAUACCUAACAUCUAUAUGCAAAGUCUGUGUGUGCCUUCUGUCCACCCCAUGGGACCCACUUGUAACUACUGAAAAAUGUUCAGUCCUCAACUGUCUUAAAACCUUCAUCUGCUUGUCCAGGAAUCAGGAAUUUUACUCUCCUUAUCCUAAACAACCUUACGUACAGUCUUACUAUCUUCUUUCUCUAUGUCUCUCUGUCUAUGUCCUCCCUCUGUCCUCCUCCUCNUACACACACACACACACACUCACACACUCACACACUUACACACACACACACAUGCAAACACGGGCACACACAGGCAUGCACAGACACAUACACAUGCCUAGAAACAGACACACACAGCACUCAGACACAGAGACGUACAUAGACACAUGCACACACACACACACACACACACACACAC
rnacentral:lncRNA from 1 species